rnacentral:rRNA from 1 species
AACGCGAAGAACCUUACCAACCUUUGACAUGUCCAGUAUGGGUCCGAGAGAUCAGAUCCUUCAGUUCGGCUGGCUGGAACACAGGUGCUGCAUGGCUGUCGUCAGCUCGUGUCGUGAGAUGUUGGGUUAAGUCCCGCAACGAGCGCAACCCUUAUUACCAGUUGCCAUCAUUCAGUUGGGCACUCAGGUGAGACCGCCUCGGAUAACGGGGAGGAAGGCGGGGAUGACGUCAAGUCCUCAUGGCCUUUAUGUCCAGGGCUACACACGUGCUACAAUGGCCGGUACAAACCGUCGCAAACCCGUGAGGGGGAGCUAAUCGGAAAAAGCCGGCCUCAGUUCGGAUUGGAGUCUGCAACUCGACUCCGAUGAAGCUGGAAUCGCUAGUAAUCGCGGAUCAGAACGCCGCGGUGAAUACGUUCCCGGGCCUUGGUACACACCGACAUA